rnacentral:rRNA from 1 species
AGUGAACGCUGGCGGUAGGCCUAACACAUGCAAGUCGAACGGCAGCACAGUAAGAGCUUGCUCUUACGGGUGGCGAGUGGCGGACGGGUGAGGAAUACAUCGGAAUCUACUUUUUCGUGGGGGAUAACGUAGGGAAACUUACUCUAAUACCGCAUACGACCUACGGGUGAAAGCAGGGGAUCUUCGGACCUUGCGCGAUUGAAUGAGCCGAUGUCGGAUUAGCUAGUUGGCGGGGUAAAGGCCCACCAAGGCGACGAUCCGUAGCUGGUCUGAGAGGAUGAUCAGCCACACUGGAACUGAGACACGGUCCAGACGACUACGGGAGGCAGCAGUGGGGAAUAUUGGACAAUGGGCGCAAGCAUGAUCCAGCCAUACCGCGUGGGUGAAGAAGGCCUUCGGGUUGUAAAGCCGUUUUGUUGGGAGAGAAAAGCAGCAGGUUAAUACCCCGCUGUUCUGACGGUACCCAAAGAAUAAGCACCGGCUAACUUCGUG